GGCAGGUUAGCUCAGUUGGUUAGAGCGUGGUGCUAAUAACGCCAAGGUCAUGGGUUCGAUCCCCGUAUGGGCUAUUUGCUU